CGCGGGAUAGAGCAGUUGGCAGCUCGUCGGGCUCAUAACCCGAAGGUCGCAAGUUCGAGUCUUGCUCCCGCCACCA
rnacentral:tRNA from 1 species